GGGAGAUUGGGAACAUACUAAAAAAUUCGAUGGCUCUUCAUUGUAUUGUGUAGUCAGGGUGCCACUUUUGCGACUGAAUGUGGAAUCGCCUCAGGUUUCUGAAGGAUGCUAGAGAAGUGAUGGCUAGUACUGAGGAUGUUAGUGGAUUUGAUGAACGCAUUACUGGGAACCUUGGCAAGUGAGUCUAUGCUAUUAUUCCUAUAAUCUCGGGCACAAGAGGCUGGACCGGUCAAAGUGUAGCAUGGGGAAUUUCGAGCCCCCAUUACACAAGCAUGUUGGCAUUCUCUGAGCAUAUAUUUGUGACCGUGAUCUUUGGUACAAAUGCUGCAAUAUUAUUGUGCCUUUUAACUAUCACUAAGUCGGGCAAAGGAAGACUCCCCGAAGAAAAAUCUGUCAAAUGAGAUAUUUUUCAGAACUGAAUCGUAUCAUCCCGGUGUUUGGAAAAACAAGAUUUUGUGCAAAUAUUGCACAACCUGUUGAUGCAGGAAUAAAUUCUGCCAAACAUUUCAUGGCAAAUCCAUUUGUUUAA